AAGGAAUGAGGGGGCCGCCAANGGGGAGAUGGGUUAUUUGACGCACGNGAAAACCNUACCUGGCUUGACAACCGAUNGCACCUUUUGGAAACANNGGGUCAGCUCGGCUGGAUNGGAUACAGGUGNUGCAUGGCUGUCGUCAGCUCGGUCGUAGAUGUUGGGUUAAGUCCCGCAACGAGCGCAACCCCUACUGUUAGUUGCCAUCAUUUAGUUGGGCACUCUAACGGAACUGUCGGUGUCAAACCGGAGGAAGGUGGGGAUGACGUCAAGUCCUCAUGGCCCUUAUGCCCAGGGCUACACACGUACUACAAUGGCCAGUACAAAGGGCAGCGAACUCGCAAGGGUAAGCGAAUCCCAAAAAGCUGGUCCCAGUUCGGAUUGGAGUCUGCAACUCGACUCCAUGAAGUUGGAAUCGCUAGUAAUCGCGAAUCAGCAUGUCGCGGUGAAUACGUUCUCGGGCCUUGUACACACCGCCCGUCACACCACGAAAGUCAGCUAUACUAGAUGUCGUUGAGCUAAUUCAUUUCGAGAAAGGCAGACGCCGACGGUGUAACGGUAAGGGGG
rnacentral:rRNA from 1 species